CAUUUUGCUGUCGUUGUUGCAUUCUGGUCGCGGCACGUAAAGGCCGAGUCAACACUUCACGUGAGGGGUAGCUGAUGAGGAAACAACAUUUAAUGCUGCCAGAUCUUCAUUGCGAACUUAUUUAAAGAGUGCUAUUACGG